rnacentral:lncRNA from 1 species
AGGAGUUAGGUAUCUUGUCUGAUUUUACCGGGGGGGGGAAACAAAUGCGUACACACACACACAAAAGAGCCAUUUUUACAUUAAUAGCUUACCCUGGUUGUCAACCAGCUCUACCAAGCACAGUUCGCUGUUAGACAACCUUGAUUCUGGGGUACUUAAGGCAACAUACACACUGUUCAAGGUUAAACACCAUGCAGAGAGCUUUAAAAUAAGGGAUUUACACAAACAUAAAUAAAUAAAUAAAUAGAUAGAUAAAUAAAUAAAUAAAAUGAAAUAAACAACCAAAACACCACAAUACUGAAAACUAGCCCCCAAGUGCUCGUGAUGUGUCAGAAAGCUUAUUUACAAAGCACUCAGAUAAAAUGCACCUUAUAAAAACAUGUAAAUAUCUUAUGUGUCCUUAAUCAAAGCUUACUGAGGAUGUUUUUGGACCUGUGAGUCAACAAGCAUUAGUCUUCCUCUUUAUAAUGUCUUGCUUCUCUCUUCCAGCCAGCCUCCUUCUUCAUGCACCUGUGUAGGUGUUUUUCUCAAUGACCUCCACUCCCUUAAGUCUUCCUGCAUUUUAAUUACUUUAAGAUGGAGUCCUGAAUGUUAAUGAUAGUUCAGUAUAUUAAAUCUCUGAAUAAUUAAGGCUGUUUUUUUUUCUUUUUUUUUUUUCUCCCCACUCCUUUGGUGAUAGUGAUUUGUAUUCUGUGCACUAAGUUACAAAGCUUGACAGCUAAAGCUUAAUAUAUUUUUUUUCAGUUUCAGAGACUGAGAAGUACUAAUUCUGACAGUCAUUGAAAAAAUUCUCAAAACAAUAGUAUUAAGAACUGAUGAUCAUAUUCAGCUGUGGAGAUCUUUCUGAAGAUCUGAUGUCUGCACCAGAGGCUCACCUUUCUGCAGCCAGUUUGGAUAUUUCAGAUAUGUCAACACACUGGCUGACUUGCUCCUUGGAAGGAUUUGUUCUAUAUUCAGUUGUUUACCAACAUUAUCUGCAAAAAAAAUCUCUACAAAUACAAUUCAUAAGAGAGAAGGUAAGUUUUCCAAAACUGUUAGCAGGGAAACAGUAGGAAUGAGCUGCUGGCAAUACCUAGCCCAUGAUCUGAAGUCAUUCCACUUAACGU